AUGAAUUUAGGUAAUAUUAACACGCACACAUAUAACCUGAGUGGGUUGCACUUACUGUUAGUCAGAAGGGUUUCAUAUAAUCCCCAAACUAAUUCUUUUUCUUUUUUUCUGUUCUUUUUUCUUCUCUUUUCUUUCUCUUUCUGUCUCUUUCUUUCCUUCCUUUUCUUUCUUUCUUUCUUUCUUUCUUUCUUUCUUUCUUUCUUUCUUUCUUUCUUUCUUUCUCUUUCUUUCUUUCUUUCUUUCUUUCUUUCUUUCCCUCUCUCCCUCUCUCUCUCCCUUCUUUCUUUCUUUCUCUCCCUCCCUUUCUUUCUUUCUUUCUUUCCGUCUUUCUUUCUUUCUUUCUUUCUUUCUUUCUCUUUCUUUCCCUCCCUCCCUCCCUCCUUUCUUUCUUUUCUUUCUUUCUUUCUUUCUUUCUUUCUUUCUUUCUUUCUUUCCCUCUCUCCCUCCCUCCCUUCUUUCUUUCUUUCUCUCCCUCUCUCCUUUCUUUCUUUCUUUCUUUCUUUCUUUCUUUCUUUCUUUCUCUCUUUCUUUUCUUUCUUUCUUUCUUUCUUUCUUUCUUUCUUUCUUUCUUUCUCUUUCUUUCCCUCCCUCCCUCCCUUCUUUCUUUCUUUCUCUCCCUCCCUCCUUUCUUUCUUUCUUUUCUUUCUUUCUUUCUUUCUUUCUUUCUUUCUUUCUUUCUUUCUUUCUUUCUUUUCUUCCUUCCUUUCUUUCUUUCUUUCUUUCCCUCCCUCCCUCCCUUCUUUCUUUUCUUUCUUUCUUUUCUUUCUUUCUUUCUUUCUUUCUUUCACUCCCUCCCUCCUUUCUUUCUUUCUUUCUCUCCCUCCCUUCUUUCUUUCUUUCUUUCUUUCUUUCUUUCUUUCUUUCUUUCUUUUUCUCUUUCUUUCUUUCUUUCUUUCUUUCUUUCUUUCUUUCUUUUUCUCUUUCUUUCUUUCUCUCUCUUUCUCUUUCUUUCUUUCUUUCUUUCUUUCUUUCUUUCUUUCUUUCCUUCUUUCUUUCUUUCUUUCUUUCUUUCUUUCUUUCUUUCUUUCUUUCUUUCUUUCUUUCUUUCUUUCUUUCUUUCUUUCAACUUUAUGUAGUGUGUGUCAGCCUGAUUGGCCUGAAAACAAGGGCUGUGACAGAAGACUUGAAUUACACGAUGUCUGA
rnacentral:lncRNA from 1 species